rnacentral:rRNA from 1 species
UACGUAGGGUGCGAGCGUUAAUCGGAAUUACUGGGCGUAAAGCGUGCGUAGGCGGUUUUGUAAGCCAGAUGUGAAAUCCCCGGGCUUAACCUGGGAAUGGCAUUUGGGACUGCAAGGCUAGAGUGUGGCAGAGGAGACUGGAAUUCCUGGUGUAGCAGUGAAAUGCGUAGAUAUCAGGAGGAAUACCGAUGGCGAAGGCAGGUCUCUGGGCUAACACUGACGCUCAUGCACGAAAGCGUGGGGGGCAAACAGG